rnacentral:rRNA from 1 species
AUUGAACGCUGGCGGAAUGCUUUACACAUGCAAGUCGAACGGUAGAGGGGGCAACCCCUCGAGAGUGGCGAACGGGUGAGUAAUAUAUCGGAACGUGCCCAGUCGUGGGGGAUAACGUAGCGAAAGUUACGCUAAUACCGCAUACGAUCUAAGGAUGAAAGCGGGGGACUCGCAAGAGCCUCGCGCGAUUGGAGCGGCCGAUAUCAGAUUAGGUAGUUGGUGGGGUAAAGGCUCACCAAGCCAACGAUCUGUAGCUGGUCUGAGAGGACGACCAGCCACACUGGAACUGAGACACGGCCCAGACUCCUACGGGAGGCAGCAGUGGGGAAUUUUGGACAAUGGGCGCAAGCCUGAUCCAGCCAUGCCGCGUGCAGGAUGAAGGCCUUCGGGUUGUAAACUGCUUUUGUACGGAACGAAAAGGUUUGGCCUAAUAAGCUGAGCUCAUGACGGUACCGUAAGAAUAAGCACCGGCUAACUACGUG